rnacentral:piRNA from 1 species
GACAAAGGUGAUUCCUUGUGUCUUCGGGGA